rnacentral:piRNA from 1 species
UAACACAGCUAUUAAGUGCUACCUGCCU